UGGGGAAUUUUGGACAAUGGGCGCAAGCCUGAUCCAGCAAUGCCGCGUGCAGGAUGAAGGCCUUCGGGUUGUAAACUGCUUUUGUACGGAGCGAAACGGCUUUUCCUAAUACGAAGAGCUAAUGACGGUACCGUAAGAAUAAGCACCGGCUAACUACGUGCCAGCAGCCGCGGUAAUACGUAGGGUGCAAGCGUUAAUCGGAAUUACUGGGCGUAAAGCGUGCGCAGGCGGUUUUGUAAGACAGAUGUGAAAUCCCCGGGCUCAACCUGGGACCUGCAUUUGUGACUGCAAAGCUAGAGUACGGCAGAGGGGGAUGGAAUUCCGCGUGUAGCAGUGAAAUGCGUAGAUAUGCGGAGGAACACCGAUGGCGAAGGCAGUCCCCUGGGCCUGUACUGACGCU
rnacentral:rRNA from 1 species